rnacentral:lncRNA from 1 species
AUCAGCCUUCUUUCUUUAUUCAACCAUCAACUGAACCAUCUCCUAUUAACCCUUUUACUAUUGGACCUUCCUUUAUAAGAUUUAGACCUCCUACUACUAGAUCUAGACCCUCUUUUUCUACACCAUUGGGUUCGUGAUGUGGUGGGCAGUGUCAUUGAAUUAAUAGCUCCUUAUCAUUUUUGUGAAUCAGCUACUAAUUCAUCUUUUGAUU